rnacentral:rRNA from 1 species
UUUGAUGGCGACCGGCGCACGGGUGAGUAACACGUAUCCAACCUGCCGAUGACUCGGGGAUAGCCUUUCGAAAGAAAGAUUAAUACCCGAUGGCAUAGUUCUUCCGCAUGGUGGAACUAUUAAAGAAUUUCGGUCAUCGAUGGGGAUGCGUUCCAUUAGGUUGUUGGCGGGGUAACGGCCCACCAAGCCUUCGAUGGAUAGGGGUUCUGAGAGGAAGGUCCCCCACAUUGGAACUGAGUCACGGUCCAAACUCCUACGGGAGGCAGCAUG